AAGCAAAGAGGGUUGUAAGGUAAUUAUCUUUGGGAUUAGCAUUAAUUGAAGAUCAUGGCAACCCCAGCUCAAAUUCCACCUAAUAAAUUUACAUAUAUAUGGUCGAAUGCUUGGAACAACCAGCCUGAUGGGUCAAAAUAUUAUUCUGGGGGAAGCUACUUCUUUAUUGGCCAACGCGGAAAGGUCCGAGAGCUUGGUCUUAACCCAAACAGCCCAUAUAAAUUUU